GUACUACUCCCUUCGUUUCGAAUUACUUGUCGCAAAAAUGGAUGUAUCUAGAUGUAUUUUAGUUUUAGAUACAUUCAUUUCUGUGACGAGUAAUUUGAAACGGAGGGAGUAGUUG
rnacentral:pre_miRNA from 1 species